rnacentral:rRNA from 1 species
UACGUAGGGGGCAAGCGUUGUCCGGAUUUAUUGGGCGUAAAGAGCGUGUAGGCGGCCAGAUAGGUCCGUUGUGAAAACUGGAGGCUUAACCUCCAGCGGUCGAUGGAAACCAUCUGGCUAGAGUCCGGAAGAGGAGAGUGGAAUUCCUGGUGUAGCGGUGAAAUGCGCAGAUAUCAGGAAGAACACCCGUGGCGAAGGCGGCUCUCUGGGCG